rnacentral:rRNA from 1 species
UACGUAGGAGGCGAGCGUUGUCCGGAGUUACUGGGCGUAAAGGGUGCGCAGGCGGCGUCACGCGUGGAUAGUUGAAAUCUCCUGGCUUACCUGGGAGGGUGGUAUCCAGACGGUGGCGCUUGAGGGUCGGAGAGGGGCGUGGAAUUCCGGGUGGAGCGGUGAAAUGCGUAGAGAUCCGGAGGAACACCAAUGGCGAAGGCAGCUCGCUGGGACGUGACUGACGCUGAGACGCGAAAGCGUGGGGAGCAAACAGG